GUUCAAUGAUAUUCUAGAGAUUCUCAGUGCACUGGAAAUGCUCUUCACAAGUCAAGCAACUAAAAGUUUGCACAAAAAUUGCAGAUAACAAUGGAAGCUGUCUGUAUUUCAUCCAUUUGUUUCAAAGAAUGGAUCUAUGAAAAUUUUCUUUAUACAUUAUACAGAAAAAAUAUAUAUAUAUCAAAGGGUACUCAAAACUGCAAAAGAAAUAAUAAACAAAACCAGAGUCACCUAUUGAUCUGCCAUUUUUCUGCUAAACUGUGUUCAUUCAUCGAGGUGCCAAAGAAACAGAGAAAUCAAUUGGCAUACCAAUCCUCUCAGCCCAAUUCUUGGAUUCCAAAUACAAUUUAGACACUCUACCGGCCACCUGCUCCAUAUCCGGCCGCUUCUGUGGGUCCUCCUCCACACAUUCCAACCCCACGAAAACCAUCUUCUCCGCCACAUCCACUGGAUACGAAUCCUUCAACCUCCGAUCCACCCAGUUCCUCACCCCACUGGCACCGCUGCUCACAGCCUCUCUUGCCCUCUCAAUUACGCUAACUCUGCUAAACCCUCCACUCCUUUCGUCAAACACGUACCUCAACGCCUCCAUCCCUGAUACCAACUCCAAAACCACCACUCCAAAAGCAUAAACAUCGCAUUUCUGCGUCACAACCCCACUUGCUUGAAACUCCGGCGACAUGUAUCCUCUCGUCCCUUCAAUUUUCAUGCCUUUACUAUUACUCCUACCUAAACUUCUCGCCUCUGAUCUUUCACUCCCCUCCAUUUCCCCGCACAGCUCCGCCGUCCCAAAAUGACAAAUCUUGGCAUUUAACGAAUCUUCAGUUACUAAUAUGCUCGAACUUUUUAUAUGGUUAUGGACAAAACCCGAAUUUGAAGCUGCACAAUGGUGAAUAUAAUCGAGCCCAUGAGCGAUAUCUGUAGCAAUCUGCAUCCGCGAGAGCCAAUUUGACAGUACCGUGUAACUGGGAUUCUGUGGAUUUCUUAGACAAGUAGCUAAAUUAACACCAUUAACGUAUUCAUACACAAGAUAUAUACAAUUCCCUGACGUGGAAGCACCCAGAAGCUUAAUCAAGCUGCUAUGAUGACUCCUGCAGAUAGUGGAUAGCCGCUGCUGGAGCUCCGGUAAUUCGAUGGGGUCACGGCGGCGGAACUUGCGCUUGAAAAUAACCACCUCUUUCCGGCGAAUCUGGCAGCGCCAAGAGGUCGAAGAGGAGGAAGAAGAAAAGGGUUUUGAUAGGAAAUUGUUAGUGGCUCUGCAGAUUUCAGCAAAGUCAUAAAUAUUUGGGUUCUCUGGUAAAGCGGCUUCUUUCAGGCUUUUGAGAGAGCGUUUGCUUGAGAUAGAAGAAGAAGACGAUUUUGAAGUGUCCUUGUUAUUGUUAAAGAAGCCUGAAGAAGAGUAAUUAAUGGAUGAUGAUGAUGGGUAAUUGAGACUUGGGUAAUUGCUGGAUGAUGAUGAUAAUGAUGAAGAUGGGUUUGCAGAAGAAGAUGAUUUUGAAGGGCGGGAUUUGGGGGUUAGAGAGUGGUUUACAUCUGUGCUUUUUCUUGAUUUGCACAUGAGGACAUGAGGAUAAUAGAAACAAACAGAAACAAUCUUGGGUUUUUAGUGGUGGUUGCUGGUGAUGGCGGCGGCGGCGGCAGCUGCGGUGGGGUGGCAUAAAAACAACAGUCUAGGAAUCAAAUCAAUGCGUGAAAUUGCAGAAAGAUGGGAACUUUGAACAUGGGAUUGUUUUGGAGGUUUGCAGUGUUGUCCUUGUCAGGGCUGUAUAACCAUAACUUCAAAAUCAAAGAGAAGUGUAUGGAUACUUUCCGAAGUACUAAAAAAAAAGACAGAGAGAGCAAAUCAAGGAAGAAGAUGAAAGAAAAUAUUAAUAAGACAGAAGACAAGGGCCGGUGGCAAAUUGGAGGAAUCAUAUAAUGAAAC
rnacentral:misc_RNA from 1 species